UACAGAGGGGGCAAGCGUUGUUCGGAAUUACUGGGCGUAAAGGGCGCGUAGGCGGCCUGUUAAGUCGAACGUGAAAUCCCCGGGCUCAACCCGGGAACUGCGUCCGAUACUGGCAGGCUUGAAUUCGGGAGAGGGAUGCGGAAUUCCAGGUGUAGCGGUGAAAUGCGUAGAUAUCUGGAGGAAUACCGGUGGCGAAGGCGGCAUCCUGGACCGACAUUGACGCUGAACGGCGAAAGCUAGGGGAGCAAACGGG
rnacentral:rRNA from 1 species